UACGUAGGGCGCAAGCGUUGUCCGGAAUUAUUGGGCGUAAAGAGCUCGUAGGCGGCCUGUUGCGUCCGCUGUGAAAUCCCGGGGCUCAACCCCGGGCCUGCAGUGGAUACGGGCUGGCUAGAGGCAGGCAGGGGAGAGCGGAAUUCCUGGUGUAGCGGUGAAAUGCGCAGAUAUCAGGAGGAACACCGGUGGCGAAGGCGGUUCUCUGGGCCGGUACUGACGCUGAGGAGCGAAAGCGUGGGGAGCGAACAGG
rnacentral:rRNA from 1 species